CCCCUGGACGAAGACUGACGCUCAGGUGCGAAAGCGUGGGGAGCAAACAGGAUUAGAUACCCUGGUAGUCCACGCCGUAAACGAUGUCGACUUGGAGGUUGUGCCCUUGAGGCGUGGCUUCCGGAGCUAACGCGUUAAGUCGACCGCCUGGGGAGUACGGCCGCAAGGUUAAAACUCAAAUGAAUUGACGGGGGCCCGCACAAGCGGUGGAGCAUGUGGUUUA
rnacentral:rRNA from 1 species